UUUCACAAUGAAAGAAAGGAAAAAAAAAUAAAAAUGAGCAGAAUGGAUUCCCUCGGGAGAUUAUUUCUUGCUAGCUGAUGUUUCUCUCUCUUUCUUUCCUUCUUCGUUGGCACUUUUGUUGCUCCGUCCACCAUGACUUUUUUUUCCCCUCCGCAUCGAAGGUUGAAUUGCACGACGGGACUAAACGUUCCUGAGGCCGGAGGCAACAAAAUGAAUUUUCUCGCGCAUGAUUUUUCCGAGUUAACUCCCGCCGAAUCCCAAUCGGUGGGGAUGAUACUCUUUAAACUCAAAUUUCACGAGUCAAUUUAUCUAUUCAAGCAGAACCCAACUCGUACAGAGAUCAAUCUGCGGCGGGAGCUUCUCCCAAGUGCAAGAAAAUGGUGGGUUCGGCUCCCAAGAUUGUGUUUUGCUCUUGCAUCAUUAUUUGGGUAAUACACGAGAAGUAAAUCAUGGCAGGUCACUACACUCGAUCUGUGCAAAACAGGUUUGUAUCAAGACAUGUUCAUACACAACAAUAUUGUGAUGUUACACUUGACUUGCGGCAAUUUGGUGGAUUCUCGUCUCGUGUUUGACACAAUGCGGCAAUCAAAUUUGGUUUCAUGGACAAGUGUGAUCCCUUCGUAUGUGCAUGAUGGUCAUUAUGACGUGGGUUUAAGCAUGUUUACUCUUAUGUGUAAGUCUGGGUCGCGGCCGUAUGAAUUUGAUUUCACGUUGGCACUCAAGCCAUGCAGAAUUUUGUCCCAUUUUAUAAUGGGUGAGCUUUUUCAUGGUCGAAUAGUGAAAUGUUGAUUAGGGUUGUGCAGCUUUUGUAAUGCUUCUAUUCUUGGAACUGUAUGCCGAGGCAGAGGACACUGAAAGUGCACGUAAAUUUUUUUAUGGAAUUCCAUUAUGGGGGAGAACUGAAGCCUUGUGGAAUACAUUUGCUUGGCAGUUACAAGCAAGCUUCUGAUGCAGAGAGUUUUGUUAAGUUGUUUCAUCAGAUAGUGCUUGCUAAUAUGUGGCCAAACUGUCUCAGUUAUAUGAUUCAAUUAUUAUUUGAUUAUGUGCUAAUAUUUUGAAGUUUGAGUUUGGAAGAUCUAUAUAUGGCUCAAUUAUGAAGGUUGGCUUUGAAAAUGAUGUUAUUGUUGGUGGAGCACUAGUUGACACCUCUGCAAAAUUGCUGCUUGGAUGAUGCCUUUAGAGUGUUCAAAAAUGUAGAAGCGGAGGAUAAUGUGGCAUGGUGUGCUUUUUUAUCUGGGUUUCACCAUAUUGGGGAUGCAAAAAUGUGACCUAAAUUUUUAUCUUGAAUUUAUUUCCGAAGGGCGAAGGCAAUUUUGUAUCUGAGUGCCCGUGCUUCAUGAGAGGUCUCAGUGACAAUAGUAACAAGGAUCUAGCCAUGGCCUAAUGUGGGCCAGGACAUCAAUGACUCUAAUUUACAAAGCGGGCGACAGGGAAAAGGGUUCUGGGCUGCAUAAAGAGAGUGAAGUAUUAGAACCGAGGCUCGGUGAAGUUUAGAUAUUGCAGAACUAAAAUGAUUUUGCAUGGAAUGAUAUUGUUCCAUGGUUGGGGAAGCUUUGCAUUAAACCCAAAACUGUACAAGGCACCAUUUGCGGCAUGAAUAACCGAAGAUUUUGCCUUGUACUACUGUGGGCCAGGGAAUCAAUGGGGCUUUAAUUUAGAAAGAAGGUGCCAAUGCAAAAUGUUCUGGACUUUAUGGAUAGUCCAUUGGACAGAUCACUACGUUAACGCUCAAAUUCUUCGAAUGUGAGGUUGUAAUAUAAUGCUGCAGAACAAAACAGCUUUGCAGGGGAUAUUAUUCCUUGUUGGCUCCAUGCUUGGACUUCAGCUCCAGUUAUAUGUUUUUGACUACUUCAAACGGAAAAUUCAGCAUUUGAAGAGUUGCGUGGAAGUAAAUCUGCCAAGAAUGAUCUCUUCGAUUUUGCAUGUUUUUGGAGCACAAUUCAUAAUAUUCCUACUCAAGCUCAUGUUCUCUAGAAUAUUGCUCUAAUUAUUGAAAUACAUGCCCUGAAAUUGAGAUGCAUGGUGUUUACAUGAUAUUUGAAUAUUUGGGAUUAUAUUUUCUGCCUCAGACUACUUCAAACGGAAAAUUCAGCAUUUGAAGAGUUGCGUGGAAGUAAAUCUGCCAAGAAUGAUCUCUUCGAUUUUGCAUGUUUUUGUAGCACAAUUCAUAAUAUUCCUACUCAAGCUCACGUUCUCUAGAAUAUUGCUCUAAUUAUUGAAAUACAUGCCCUGAAAUUGAGAUGCAUGGUGUUUACAUGAUAUUUGAAUAUUUGGGAUUAUAUUUUCUGCCUCAGACUACUUCAAACGGAAAAUUCAGCAUUUGAAGAGUUGCGUGGAAGUAAAUCUGCCAAGAAUGAUCUCUUCGAUUUUGCAUGUUUUUGUAGCACAAUUCAUAAUAUUCCUACUCAAGCUCAUGUUCUCUAGAAUAUUGCUCUAAUUAUUGAAAUACAUGCCCUGAAAUUGAGAUGCAUGGUGUUUACAUGAUAUUUGAAUAUUUGGGAUUAUAUUUUCUGCCUCAGAGAUUCACCCUGGGAGGUCGGUUGCAACGGGAAAAAUAUUGCUCUGGUUCAAAUGGUAGCUGUUCUCUGUGUUGUCUGCAAAUGAACAAGUUUUGGAAUUUAGAACCUACUCAGUGAAUGCAAAGCCUUGUGAAUUAAUUUCUUCCUACUCGCUCACAAAGGAGAGCCAACAUGAGACAGCAGGCUGAACUAUGAGUAAUAAAUGCAAGUUCGUAGGCAGUAAAUGAACAUUCUUAGGCGAGUGGUCAACUCAGACAUCUCGAGUUUGGAACUUUAUAGGAUCAACUCUGUAUUUAAGUAGAUAUAUUCGGACGAAAUUUUUGCACCAAUUGUCCAAUUUUAUUGCUAGAUCCAUAUAAAAGCAUCAAAACUUUGGGAUGGCAUGGGCUCUUAUUCUCUGCCUGCUUUCCUCUUAUUGUUCAAUGUGUUAUCUUGUUCGAUUUCAUCAAAUUGGGCUUCGUUCUAUUGCU